rnacentral:snoRNA from 1 species
CUCCUCUCAGGGUUGCACCUGGAGUGUUUCCAGUACUCCAGUACUCUACCAGUCUCGGCUAUGGGAGGGAGAGUCAAGCAGAGCCUACCCACUCCACUCCUAGCUUGGGCAGUGGCUAGGGAGUGGAAGGCAAUCUGCUACAAGU